UGCCUAAUACAUGCAAGUCGAACGCGUUGGCCCAACUGAUUGAACGUGCUUGCACGGACUUGACGUUGGUUUACCAGCGAGUGGCGGACGGGUGAGUAACACGUAGGUAACCUGCCCCAAAGCGGGGGAUAACAUUUGGAAACAGAUGCUAAUACCGCAUAACAAUUUGAAUCGCAUGAUUCAAAUUUAAAAGAUGGCUUCGGCUAUCACUUUGGGAUGGACCUGCGGCGCAUUAGCUUGUUGGUAGGGUAACGGCCUACCAAGGCUGUGAUGCGUAGCCGAGUUGAGAGACUGAUCGGCCACAAUGGAACUGAGACACGGUCCAUACUCCUACGGGAGGCAGCAGUAGGGAAUCUUCCACAAUGGGCGCAAGCCUGAUGGAGCAACACCGCGUGAGUGAAGAAGGGUUUCGGCUCGUAAAGCUCUGUUGUUAGAGAAGAACGUGCGUGAGAGUAACUGUUCACGCAGUGACGGUAUCUAACCAGAAAGUCACGGCUAACUACGUGCCAGCAGCCGCGGUAAUACGUAGGUGGCAAGCGUUAUCCGGAUUUAUUGGGCGUAAAGCGAGCGCAGGCGGUUUGAUAAGUCUGAUGUGAAAGCCUUUGGCUUAACCAAAGAAGUGCAUCGGAAACUGUCAGACUUGAGUGCAGAAGAGGACAGU
rnacentral:rRNA from 2 species